rnacentral:lncRNA from 1 species
UGUGCCAUUUGUAAGACCCAAUUUUAGUCCGGGCCCAUACACAUACAAAACAAACAAAAAACAAAGAAUAACAUGGUCCAAUACAAAUUUUUUAAAGCCAAAUGUUGUCCCAAAACACAAUUUUGGCCCAAUUACACAAAGCCCAAUGGCCCAAUUUUUUUUUCAGAAGCAGCAAACCCUAGCACUUAGGUCCUUCCUUUGGCCAGCCCCGCCUCCACCUCCACGCAUGCCCCGUGCACGACCCCUGGCUCGCGUAUUGCAUGCCCCACGUCCGUGCACUCCUCCUUUACGUCUGCACGGCCUGCGAUUUG